GAGAGGUGGUCGAGUGGUUGAAGGCACCAGUCUUGAAAAUUGGCGUGCGUUUGUAGCGUACCGUGGGUUCGAAUCCCACCCUCUCC
rnacentral:tRNA from 1 species